rnacentral:rRNA from 1 species
CCUACGGGUGGCUGCAGUGGGGAAUUUUCCGCAAUGGACGAAAGUCUGACGGAGCAACGCCGCGUGAGUGAUGAAGGCCUUCGGGUUGUAAAACUCUGUCUUAUGGGAAGAAGAAAGUGACGGUACCAUAGGAGGAAGCCACGGCUAACUACGUGCCAGCAGCCGCGGUAAUACGUAGGUGGCGAGCGUUGUCCGGAAUCACUGGGCGUAAAGGGCGCGUAGGCGGUUAAUUAAGUCAGGUGUGAAAACUUUGGGCUCAACCCAGAGACUGCACCUGAUACUGGAUAACUUGAGUGCAGGAGAGGACAGUGGAAUUCCUAGUGUAGCGGUGAAAUGCGUAGAUAUUAGGAGGAACACCAGUGGCGAAGGCGGCUCUCUGGACUGUAACUGACGCUGAGGCGCGAAAGCGUGGGGAGCGAACAGGCUUAGAUACCCUUGUAGUC